GCCAAUCGGCUGCGGCUGAAUCCCGGGGAGUGAGGAUCCGAGAGCGGAGCCGGAGCAGCGAGCGGGCAAGCGGCUGGGGCAGCGACCAGGGGCAGGAGCAGUGAACGGGAGGCAGCUGGCUAGUCCCUCGUGCGCUCCGGGAGCCGCCCCAUUCCCCACCUCCACUGUAGCACCAGGCUUCUUCGGCCAGAAGGACUCAGGCGUCCCCGGCACCCCAACCAUGGAGCAAGACAACAGUCCCCGGAAGAUCCAGUUCACUGUCCCGCUGCUGGAGCCGCACCUGGACCCGGAGGCGGCGGAGCAGAUCCGGAGGCGUCGCCCCACCCCUGCUACUCUUGUGCUCACCAGUGACCAGUCAUCUCCAGAGAUCGAUGAAGAUAGGCUUCCCAAUCCUCUGUUUAAGUCCACAUUGUCCAUGUCUCCAAGGCAGCGGAAGAAGGUGACCCGGACCACGCCCACGAUGAAAGAGCUCCAGAUGAUGGUGGAACAUCACCUGGAACAGCAGCAGAAGCAGCAGGGGGAAGAAACUGAGGCAGCAACAGCUGAAAGUGAAGAAACACAGGAGACCUGCCUGCCUGAGACUGAGGAAAUGGAUUCAAGGCUGAGCCUCACUGAAACUGCCCAGAGGCUUCCAGAAACCAUCCCCAAGAUCCAGGAGACUGGCAGUGAGGAAUCUAGCUCAGAGGCACCAGCAGUUCAUAUACAACCUUCAGGCUCCAGGGGGGCAGACUAGGUGCCCACACCACCUCUGAGGGUCAAACCAAAGUAGGUGGCCUGGAGCUACAGCAGGAGGGCUUGAGGUUAGACAUCAAGAAGGAAUUCCUGCCUCUGGAAUAGGUCAGAGGGCCAUGAAGCUGACCAGGAAUCGAGGCUGGGGCUGGGGCCCCCGCGAAUGCUGGUUCUUUUCUUCUUGUUUCUUCACAUCUGGGGGAAAACUCUUGUUUCUAAAAAGUGAUAAAUCUGGUGUUGGGCCUUUGGUGCCUUUCUUCUUUCCCAGA